CCCUUAGAUGUUCUGGGCUGCACGCGUGCUACAAUGGCGUUUCCAGCAAGUCUGCGAACCCGAGAGGGCCAGCGGAUCUUCGAAUUGGCGUCGUGAUCGGGACAGUCGAUUGCAAUUAUUUGACUCAAACGAGGAAUUCCUUGUAAUCGCGAUUCAUCAUAUCGUGCUGAAUACGUCCCUGCCCUUUGUACUCACCGCCCGUCGCUCCUACCGAUUGAGCGAUCCGGUAAAUGUUUUGGAUUGGUGCCGGGGCGGCUAGCUGCCGGUCGCUACGAAAUUUUGUGAACCUUAUCGCUUAGAGGAAGGAAAAGUCGUAACA
rnacentral:rRNA from 1 species